CUGAACCAGCCAAGUAGCGUGAAGGAUGACUGCCCUAUGGGUUGUAAACUUCUUUUAUACGGGAAUAGAGUGAGGCACGUGUGCCUUUUUGUAUGUACCGUAUGAAUAAGGAUUGGCUAACUCCGUGCCAGCAGCCGCGGUAAUACGGAGGAUCCGAGCGUUAUCCGGAUUUAUUGGGUUUAAAGGGAGCGUAGGCGGACGCUUAAGUCAGUUGUGAAAGUUUGCGG
rnacentral:rRNA from 1 species